rnacentral:rRNA from 1 species
AGUGAACGCUGGCGGUAGGCCUAACACAUGCCAGUCGAACGGCAGCACAGUAAGAGCUUGCUCUUACGGGUGGCGAGUGGCGGACGGGUGAGGAAUACAUCGGAAUCUACUUUUUCGUGGGGGAUAACGUAGGGAAACUUACGCUAGUACCGCAUACGACCUACGGGUGAAAGCAGGGGAUCUUCGGACCUUGCGCGAUUGAAUGAGCCGAUGUCGGAUUAGCUAGUUGGCGGGGUAAAGGCCCACCAAGGCGACGAUCCGUAGCUGGUCUGAGAGGAUGAUCAGCCACACUGGAACUGAGACACGGUCCAGACUCCUACGGGAGGCAGCAGUGGGGAAUAUUGGACAAUGGGCGCAAGCCUGAUCCAGCCAUACCGCGUGGGUGAAGAAGGCCUUCGGGUUGUAAAGCCCUUUUGUUGGGAAAGAAAAGCAGCAGGUUAAUACCCCGCUGUUCUGACGGUACCCAAAGAAUAAGCACCGGCUAACUUCGUG